CUCGUAGACUCCUACGGGAGCAGCAGUGGGGGAAUAUUGCACAAUGGGCGGAAGCCUGAUGCAGCAACGCCGCGUGCGGGAUGGCGGCCUUCGGGUUGUAAACCGCUUUCGCCUGUGACGAAGCGUGAGUGACGGUAAUGGGUAAAGAAGCACCGGCUAACUACGUGCCAGCAGCCGCGGUGAUACGUAGGGUGCGAGCGUUGUCCGGAUUUAUUGGGCGUAAAGGGCUCGUAGGUGGUUGAUCGCGUCGGAAGUGUAAUCUUGGGGCUUAACCCUGAGCGUGCUUUCGAUACGGGUUGACUUGAGGAAGGUAGGGGAGAAUGGAAUUCCUGGUGGAGCGGUGGAAUGCGCAGAUAUCAGGAGGAACACCAGUGGCGAAGGCGGUUCUCUGGGCCUUUCCUGACACUCAGAUGCGAAAGCGUGGGGAGCAAACAGGAUUAGAUACCCUGGUAG
rnacentral:rRNA from 1 species